UACGUAGGGUGCGAGCGUUGUCCGGAAUUAUUGGGCGUAAAGAGCUCGUAGGCGGUUUGUCGCGUCUGCUGUGAAAACUCGGGGCUUAACUCCGGGCCUGCAGUGGGUACGGGCAGACUAGAGUGCGGUAGGGGAGACUGGAAUUCCUGGUGUAGCGGUGAAAUGCGCAGAUAUCUGGAGGAACACCGGCGGCGAAGGCGGCAUCCUGGACCAACACUGACGCUGAGGAGCGAAAGCGUGGGUAGCGAAUGGG
rnacentral:rRNA from 1 species